AUUUAAAUAACUUAUAUUCUAGAGUAUUACAUUGAAGAUGUGAGAGAAGUUGGUUUAGACUUUUAGAUA
rnacentral:tRNA from 1 species